AGAAAACUACUAGCACAAUAAGUGAUAGGUUUACAAAAAAUCCUAGAAUGCCAAAAACAUCUCAAAAGACAUCGCGGAAAUCAAAAUAUCAAUCGUCUCACAGAUCUUCUCGUAAGCGUGGUGUGCUGCCAGUAAGAUCACUGAAUAAAUAUAACUCCCGGCCCAAUGCCUGCUCCAUGUCCCUCACCCCGUAGCUAGGGAUUAUUUCUCCCGGCCUAUCUGCCAACACCAGAUCCUCGCCUCAGGUAGCAUAGUGUCCACUAGGUACGCACAAAUAGUUACGCCUCUCAUAAAUAACCAUUUCAUAGUAUAAAGUCAUCCAUCGUCUAUACUAUAAGGACGGGUUUCUAAAACAUGUUCUAGCAUCCUAUCGUCAUCCAUCAGAUAGUCUACCAGUUCAUGGUUUUUAUAGAAAAUACAAUAUAUCAAACUAUAGCUCAAUAUAGGCUAAUAAUUAAUUCCUCACCAAAAACGAGACAAUAAACAACAUAUUCCAUAAACAUGCUUAACAUAAAAUGAGUUCAUAUACUCGUAAGGCAUGCUAUUCAUUUAUGUAAUUAAACUAUGAAAUCAUGUCAUUUUAGAAGGGACACUCACAGAUACUCCGUAGCAGCAGAAUUAUGCGGAAAAGGAUUAGGGAGGUCCCAACUAGAAACUUCACCUAAGCAAAAAAAAAUGUACAAUUUAUCAAACUACCCAACUGUAGAAUUUCAAGAUAUGGAAAUGGGUCUUGGGUUUGGAUCCAGAUUAGGGUUUAGGUUUAGGCAAGGAAGAAAAUAUCGGUAAUAUCGGAAAUAUCGGUAGUCCGAAAACACGGAAAUAUCGAUGGAAAUAUCGGGAUAAUAUCGAUAUCGAUAAAAAUUACAUGGAAACCACGGAAAUUGUAAGAAAAACUUGGAAAUUUUUAUUGAAACUUUGCAGGAUGUUUAUUUAGUCAAUUAUCUAUUAGUUUAUCACAAAAAAUUGGAAAGAAAUGCAUUGCAUGAUAGAUAUAACUGAUUUAAGUUGAUUAUAUAGCGAGCUGGCAAACAUUGUGAGUGUAGAAAAUAUGUAGUAAUUAAUGAAAGAAGUUUAAACACACCAUAAUCAUUUAUAUAUAAUGAAUUAGUACAAUAUUUUACACUUUAUACAUUGCAUGGUAAGAUACAUGAGUGACUUAUUACCCUUUAUUUUUUUUAUUUAAGAAUUAUAUGUUUGUGGGGAUUUUAUUUAAAAUUUAUAUUGAAGAUGCUCUUAAAUUAUGUAAAAUUGUGAUAGAAAACAAUAUUUUAUUUUAUUUUAUUUUCAAAAUGCAAAAUGGGCAUUAAGAAAAUUGCAAAGAAAGAGUCCCACUUAAUUCCCAAAAAAGCAAAAAAUCCCAACCCAUCAUCUUUCUUCAGAACCUAUCAAAAUCCCUAUUGCCCUCAUACUCUUUCCCUUUUAUUCCCACUUUGCCUUUUAGUCGCCUCUCUCUCUCUCUCUCUCUCCAUCCAUAUUCUCUCAAAUUCCUCACUCUCCGC
rnacentral:lncRNA from 1 species